CAAAACCUCACCAUGCUUGUGUUUAUAAGUACUGCUCCAUGGGCUUUGUAAUUUUAAGACAGGUUCAGGUUAAAGGUGGCCAGCUCCUUCCAUAGCUGUCCUUACUAGGGACUUCUUGAUGGCUACCAAUUCUCUACAAGUGCUUGGUCCCCAUUUCUUAGAUCAUGUCUUCAGAGGGUUAAGAUUUCUUAGCCUGCCCUGAAGCUUGGUCUACAGUGAAGUAGCACAUAGCACCAGUACUUAGUGAAAUGAAGUAGCACAUAGCGCCAGCACUUAGUGAAAUGAAGUAGCAUAUAGUGCCAGCACUUAGUUAAAGCUUAUGAUCAAGGUCCUGAAAUUUCCUCUUGGAUUUUUGUUAAUUAUGC
rnacentral:lncRNA from 1 species